rnacentral:lncRNA from 1 species
CAGGGAAGGGCCUCCAGUGCCGCAGUCUGGCGGGGCACAAAAUAACCAAGCCGCCACACAGCCCCGUAGGUUCAAAACAGGAACUCCUUUACUCUCCGCACCCCCGGAACGCCGCCUCCCCGACACACCCCACACCACCCCACACCGGAACUCCCCCCACCCACCGGAACUUCACCAGCCAACGCGAACUCUGCAGGCAUCCCCACGAGAGCUCAACCGAAGUCAUCAUCUUAAUGGCUCGCUGGCGUCACCUCUCAACCACUACUUCUGGCAAAAUGCCAUGCGUCAUCCCGACUCGGCUGUGGCCCUCAACACUCCAGGGGCCAGGGGCCUGGUCAAGGGGAGUUUCCGUAGCCAGUGGGGACACAGAAAAAUGGCUCCUGCACCUGCCCAAAAGCUCAGGCGGGUCUCCUGCCCUCCAGGAGCCACCAUGGCAGAGGCUGUGACAGGGAGGACAUGUGGGGAUAGCGACAGGGCCCAGGCCACCUCAGGCUUCUGCACUCUGAGAGUCUUUAAGGGCCGAUUCCUUGGUCAAGGGAACCAACGAGGAAGGACACAGUGGGUCUGAAGAGGUCGGGUGCUGGCGCCACGUCCCCACGGACGCAGCAGAGACACCCAGGAGUCCCCACGUGCCGGGUGCAGAGGGGCCUGCUGCUGCCUCAGGGCUGUGGGCUGUGCUGCGUCCCUGAGAGACCAGUGUGUGCAACUCCACAACCAGGAAGCAGGUCUCGGCGUCCACCUAUCAGGGAGCCCGGGGGCCGAGGCCGGUGGAAAGCAGGGUGCGUCCCAGAGCAGAGCCUUCUUUGUCCCCAGGUGAAAGGUGGCAGGACAGCCCAUCCCCCAGAUCCCAGGUGCCCCAGAUGCCCCUGUGCCCUGUGCACUCUGCCACCCCCCCACCCACCAGAGACCUGAGGGAGCUCACUCACUACCCGAUGGCCUCAGUGCCCCCGCCCUGUGCAGCCAGCUCACCUGUGGCAGGUGGCCCUGGGAGCUGGGGCCCAGGUCUGGCAGAGCUGGCCCCACACUUGUGUGGCCCAGGGAUGGACGGCCAGUCUCCUGGGUUUGCAGACCUGCAGCCCAACUUCAGGGCUGUCCCAGGAGCACCGCCCAGACCAGCCCUGGCAGACGGCUCCCAGCUCUGUCUCCCAAGGGUGUCGGGUCCUCCUGCCCCAGUGGACAGCCUGGACACCGCACGGGGCAGCCUGUGCUCACAGCACGGCUCCUGCCUGCUUCUGUUCUGUUUUAAAAACUUGCUCACAUAGAGAAGACAAAGUGAUAAAGCUAAGGACCCUGAGCAUUGUCACCAAAGGCUACAUGAAUCAGAGCAUCACGUGCCUCAGAAUCACUCAUCCAUCAAAAAAUAAACCCAAUUAAUAAAAAUUCUACAAGCAAUUAAUCUAGAGAGAAAAAGGGAAAGGUUUUUCUUUUUUUUUCCCAUGGCAGGGGUCAAAGCCAGGCAAGUGCCCUCGUCCUGAGCCAUGUCCCAGCACCGUCCUGAGGGCAGGAAGCACAGAGGUAACCAGAGUCCUAAG